rnacentral:rRNA from 1 species
CCUAGGGUGGCUGCAGUGGGGAAUAUUGGACAAUGGGCGAAAGCCUGAUCCAGCCAUGCCGCGUGUGUGAAGAAGGCCUUCGGGUUGUAAAGCACUUUCAGUGGGGAAGAAAGCCUUGGGGCUAAUACCCUCGAGGAAGGACAUCACCCACAGAAGAAGCACCGGCUAACUCCGUGCCAGCAGCCGCGGUAAUACGGAGGGUGCGAGCGUUAAUCGGAAUUACUGGGCGUAAAGCGCGCGUAGGCGGUCUGAUAAGCCGGUUGUGAAAGCCCCGGGCUCAACCUGGGAACGGCAUCCGGAACUGUCAGGCUAGAGUGCAGGAGAGGAAGGUAGAAUUCCCGGUGUAGCGGUGAAAUGCGUAGAGAUCGGGAGGAAUACCAGUGGUGAAGGCGGCCUUCUGGACUGACACUGACGCUGAGGUGCGAAAGCGUGGGUAGCAAACAGGAUUAGAUACCCGGGUAGUC